rnacentral:lncRNA from 1 species
CUGAAUUGACUACAGGGGAAAAUAAUUGGGGGAAAGAGCGAUGAGGAAAGUGGGGGAGGAAAUGUCUCCCUCAGAUGCAAAGGCAUUUCCCUUCCCUUCCCUCCCCUUCGCCCCGGCUUACAUUUUCUGCACGGGUUUCCGCCGCUUGCGGCUGGCGUAGGUGACAUUGGGGUUCAUCCUCCUGCUGCUCCCGCUGCUCCCGCCGCGGCUCCAGCGCCUCCGGCCUCAAGAGAUUGUUAUUUGUGUGUGUCAAAUGUAUACGCUUCAAAACACACACACCAAAAGCACCCCACCCCACCCCCCCACCCCCUUUGAGGCCUCCCACCAGCGAGUGGUAAAGGCAGAAUCUCCUCAGAGAAGAAGCAGGUCGCGCGGCCCGGCCUCCUCCGCCCCGCCGUCAAUCCCACUCCAGAGUCCCUUCUUCGGCUGAGAGGAAGGGAGGGAGGAGGGGAGCCAGGUGCUUGGCGCCGGCAACACCCACUCGUCGCCGCCGUCGUCGUCCUCCUCGCUCCGUUUUCGGGGCGGAGAGACAGGUGCGGAGGCGGCCACUCCGUCCCUCCUCCUUCUCCUCAGAGAGAGAGAGAGAAGCCUCCCUUCUCUUCCUUUCCCGUCAGCACAGCCGCCGUCCUCAGGGAGGAAGGAGGGCCUCGCCUCACGCACAGGCGCUCCCUCCGUUUAUUCGCUCUUUCUGCCUCGGUCUCAGCGUCGGGAGCCGAGCCUUCGCUCUCCUUGCAGGCCCGGCCCACCGCCCACCGAGCAGCAGCAGCAGCAGGAGGAGGAGGCCUCGGUGGGGAGGCGCCGGGAGGCGUCAAGGGGGCGGCGCGGCGCCAUGUUGGGAAGAGAUCAAAGAAAGACCUGGCCUUCCUCACUGGUUGGAAAAGCAGACUUCCAUUUGGUCCCAAGCAAGAAAGUCAAGCAACACAUGCCAUAUACUAAUUUCCAGAGAUGAAAGUGAGAAUUCCCCUGGAUCUAGAGAAGACCAAGAGGACCAACUUUGCUCCAAAUCAAGAGGCUAA